UUUGCUUUGUUGAGUGACCUUGAACUCUGC
rnacentral:piRNA from 1 species